rnacentral:rRNA from 1 species
UUCGUCCUACGGGAGGCAGCAGUGGGGAAUAUUGGGCAAUGGGCGAAAGCCUGACCCAGCAACGCCGCGUGAAGGAAGAAGGCUUUCGGGUUGUAAACUUCUUUUGACAGGGAAGAGCAGAAGACGGUACCUGUCGAAUAAGCCACGGCUAACUACGUGCCAGCAGCCGCGGUAAUACGUAUGGUGCAAGCGUUAUCCGGAUUUACUGGGUGUAAAGGGAGCGCAGGCGGCGCGGCAAGCCUGAUGUGAAAGCCCGCGGCCCAACCGCGGGACUGCAUUGGGAACUACCGGGCUGGAGUGCCGGG